rnacentral:rRNA from 1 species
AGCACGGGCUUCGGCCUGGUGGCGAGUGGCGAACGGGUGAGUAAUACAUCGGAACAUGUCCUGUAGUGGGGGAUAGCCCGGCGAAAGCCGGAUUAAUACCGCAUACGAUCUGAGGAUGAAAGCGGGGGACCUUCGGGCCUCGCGCUAUAGGGUUGGCCGAUGGCUGAUUAGCUAGUUGGUGGGGUAAAGGCCUACCAAGGCGACGAUCAGUAGCUGGUCUGAG